UACCAAGCUACGAAGAGCCAAUGGUGAAUGCCUUGGCGCCGAACACCGAUGAAGGACGUGAUAGGCUGCGAUAAGCCACGGGGAGCCGCCGAAUAGGCUUUGAUCCGUGGAUAUCCGAAUGGGGAAACCCGGCACCUUUUAUCGGGUGUCACUCCUGCCUGAAUCUAUAGGGCAGGUAGAGGGAACGAGGGGAAUUGAAACAUCUCAGUACCCUGAGGAAAAGAAAGCAACAGCGAUUCCCGGAGUAGCGGCGAGCGAAAUGGGAAGAGCCUAAACCGAUUCCGGUGGUAAAGCCUGGUGGCGUUGCCGGAUCGGUGUUGUGGGACAUCCCCGACCGAGCACCAGAUCGGUCAAGGAGUUACAAAGCAGGCAGAUAGCGGAACCGUACAGGAAAGGCGGGCCGCAGAGGGUGACAGCCCCGUACGCGAAAUCUGCUUGCCUCCUGGGAUUGCUCCCGAGUAGCGCCGGUUCCGUGAAGGCCGGCGUGAAUCUGCGAGGACCACCUCGUAAGGCUAAAUAUGUGUCGGCGACCGAUAGCGAACUAGUACCGUGAGGGAAAGGUGAAAAGUACCCCGGGAGGGGAGUGAAAUAGUACCUGCAACCAUUGGUUUACAAGCAGUUGAAGCGCUACUGGGCACUUGUGUCCAAGCGCGACAGCGUGCCUUUUGAAGAAUGAGCCAGCGAGUUACGGUGUGUGGCAAGGUUAACCAGUGAUGGGAAGCCGGAGCGAAAGCGAGUCCGAAUAGGGCGCACAGUCGCAUGCUGUAGACCCGAAGCCGUGUGAUCUAUCCAUGGGCAGGGUGAAGCGGAGGUAAGACUCCGUGGAGGCCCGAACCGACCUAGGUUGAAAACUGGGCGGAUGACCUGUGGAUAGGGGUGAAAGGCCAAUCAAACACGGUGAUAUCUGGUUCUCCCCGAAAUGCAUUUUGGUGCAGCGUCGCACGUUCAGCCAUGGAGGUAGAGCACUGAUUGGGCUAGGGGGCCCACAAGCUUACCGACCCCAGUCAAACUCCGAAUGCCAUGGCUCCAGAGUGCGGCAGUGAGUCCACGGGGGAUGAGCUUCGUUGGACGAGAGGGAAACAGCCCAGAGCGCCGGCUAAGGCCCCUAAGUGUGUAUUAAGUGGCAAACGAUGUGGGAUUGCCCAGACAGCCAGGAGGUUGGCUUAGAAGCAGCCACCCUUGAAAGAGUGCGUAACAGCUCACUGGUCGAGUGGUCCUGCGCGGAUAAUGUAACGGGGCUAAAUACACCGCCGAAGCCGCGCCUUUGAGUUCGCUUUCGAGCGAGCUUGAGGGGUAGGGGAGCGUCGUGCCUGCAGCGAAGCCGGAGCGUGAGCGCCGGUGGAGCGGGUCCGAGUGAGAAUGCUGGCAUGAGUAGCGAGAGAGGGGUGCGAAUCCCCUCCGCCGUAAGCCCAAGGGUUCCUGGGGAAGGCUGGUCCUCCCAGGGUUAGUCGGGAGCUAAGGCGAGGCCGAGAGGCGUAGUCGAUGCACAACCGGUUGAUAUUCCGGUACCACCGCGUGCGCGCCCAGUCCAAAAUGCGGUUGCUAAGGGGCUGUCCUCCCUUCGGGGAACGACGAACCGACCCACCGCACCGAGGACAGCAAUGAGGGGACGCAGGAGGAUAGGUGAACCCAGGCGAUGGUAGACCUGGGGUAAGCGAGUAGGACGGGGACUAGGUAAGUCCGGGCCCCAUAAAGUCCGAGACGCGAUGCCGAGCCGCUACAGGCGAAGUCAUUGAUUCCAUGCUGCCUAGAAAAGCCUCUAGCGAGUUCACGUGGUGCCCGUACCUAAACCAACACAGGUAGGCAGGUAGAGCAUACUCAGGCGAACGGGAGAACUGUGGUUAAGGAACUCGGCAAAUUGCAUCCGUAACUUCGGGAGAAGGAUGACCCUGCGAUGGUGACGGCACUAGCUGCCCGAGCCGGAGAGGGUGGCACAAAAUAGGGGAAAGCGACUGUUUACUAAAAACACAGCAGCGUGCGAAGUCGUAAGACCAUGUAUACGCUGUGACGCCUGCCCGGUGCCGGAAGGUUACGGGGAACGGUUAGCUCUUCGGAGCGAAGCUGUGAACCUAAGCCCCGGUAAACGGCGGCCGUAACUAUAACGGUCCUAAGGUAGCGAAAUUCCUUGUCGGGUAAGUUCCGACCUGCACGAAUGGCGUAACGACUUUCCCACUGUCUCAACCACAGACCCGGCGAAAUUGAAGUACGAGUAAAGAUGCUCGUUGGCUACAGAAGGACGGAAAGACCCCGUGGACCUUUACUAUAACUUGGUAUUGGGUUGUGGCACGUGUUGUGUAGGAUAGGUCGGAGACUAGGAAGCGUGUGCGCCAGCAUGCGUGGAGUCACCCUUGAAAUACGACCCUGCUCAUGUCGGAACUCUAACCUAGGACCCUGAUCGGGUUCGGGAACAGUGCCAGGCGGGUAGUUUGACUGGGGCGGUCGCCUCCCAAAGGGUAACGGAGGCGCCCAAAGGUUCCCUCAGACUGGUUGGCAAUCAGUCGUCGAGUGCAAUGGCACAAGGGGGCUUGACUGUGAGACAUACAGGUCGAGCAGGUGCGAAAGCAGGGCAUAGUGAUCCAGCGAUUGCGUGUGGAAGCGUCGUUGCUCAACGGAUAAAAGGUACCCCGGGGAUAACAGGCUCAUCUUCCCCAAGAGUCCAUAUCGACGGGAAGGUUUGGCACCUCGAUGUCGGCUCAUCGCAUCCUGGGGCUGAAGCAGGUCCCAAGGGUUGGGCUGUUCGCCCAUUAAAGCGGUACGCGAGCUGGGUUUAGAACGUCGUGAGACAGUUCGGUCCCUAUCCUCUGUAGCCGUAGGAGAUUUGAGGAAAGCUGUCCGUAGUACGAGAGGACCCGGAUGGACGCAGCUCUCGUGUGCCAGUUGUUCCGCCAGGAGCACGGCUGGUUGGCGACCUGCGGAAGGGAUAAGCGCUGAAAGCAUCUAAGCGCGAAGCCUGUUCCAAGAUGAGAUCUCCCACUGGUACAACCAGGUAAGGCCCGUGGCAGAUAACCACGUUGAUAGGCCGGAUGUGUACGCACAGCAAUGUGUUCAGCAGACCGGUACUAAUCGGCCGAGGGCUUGGUAUC
rnacentral:rRNA from 1 species